CUCCUCGGGUGUGUGUGCCCUUCAUAACACCUCGUCCUUGAGUGCAGGUGGGCCUGCGUUAAUUAGGCGAGCCCUUGUGAGAGAGGUCUAAAGAUAGAAGACAUGAAAGAGAUUCAGAGCUGCAGAAGAUGCUCUCCUGUUGUUCUGCAAGGGGCAGACUGCCAUAUGUGAGAGGCUCUAUGGAGAGGCCACACAGGAAGCAAGGACCUGCAUGCAGCCUCCAGGAGCUGAGAGCGGUCCCUGGCCAAAAGCUGGCAAGGAAUUGGAGACCUCAGUCCUACUGCCAUAAGGACAUGCAUCCUGCCAACAACCAGGGAUCUUGGAAUGAGAACAUAAGCCUCAGAUGAGAUGGCAGUCCCAGGUGACACCUUGAUUUCAGCCUGCUUCACCAUGAGAUGGCCUUGAGGAUAGAAGUUGCGUACUAAGAUGAUGGAGCAGACAGAUGAAACCUUGUACUAAGAUGAUGGAGCAGACAGAUGAAAGAUGGAGGCCUUGGUGAAAGGCAGUUGAAAUUAAUUCUGACACAGGAAGCAAAAGUGGAAGUGAGAAACUAAUAAAGAGAUGACUGCAGUAUUCCAUGUGAGAGAUGAAGUUGAUGUGGACCAGGGCAAAUGGUGGAAGUGCUGGGAGGUGUAAGAUACCAAAUAUACUUUGAAGGGCAUUCUGCAAGUGAUUACGUGACACUGAUUACAUGAACGGUUUCCAAUCAUGGCCCCAGUUUUGGAGUCUGCCACCGGGAGUUAAUGAAA
rnacentral:lncRNA from 1 species